rnacentral:ncRNA from 1 species
UAAUAAAAAAAAAUUAUAAAAUUAAAUUUAAUUAUAGUUUAUUAAUUGAUUGUAAAAAUCAUAUAUAUAUAAUUUAUUGAAAUAAAAAAUUUAAUAUAAAAGUUAAAGUAGUGUAUAAAUUUAAUAAAUUUUAAGAAAUUAAUUUUAGGAAUUUUUAUAGUUUAGAUAAAUAUUUGUGCCAGCAAUCGUGGUUAGACAAAUUAAGUAAAUUAAUUAAGUAAAAUUGAAAUAAAAUGGAAAUAUAAUAUUAAAGUUGAAAUUUAUUAGGUGAAAUUUAUUAAAUUUUAAUUUAAUAUAAAAUUUAUAAAAUUGAAUUUUUGAAAAUUUAUAAAAAACUAGGAUUAGAUACCCUAUUAUAAAAUUUAAAAUAAAAAUUUGAUUAUUAAAUGAUAAAUCAUUAAAUUUAAAUAAUUUGGCGGUAUUUUAAUUUUUUUAGAGGAACUUGUUUAAUAAUUGAUAAUCCACGAAAGGAAUUACUUAAAUAAAAAUUUUUAUAUUGUUGUUUAAAAAUUAAUUUUAGAAAAUAUAUUUAAGAAAUUAAAUUAAAUAAAAAUUCAAAUCAAAAUGAAGUGAAUAUUUAAGUUUUUAAUGAGUUACAGAAAAAUUUUAUGGAAAUAUAAAUUUUAAUAAUUAUAUAUAAAUAGGAUUUAAAAGUAAAAUAAAAUAAUUUUUUUAUUUGAUUAAAAUUUUAAAAUAUGUACAAAUUGCCCGUCGUUCCCUUUGAAUAGAAGGGGUAAGUCGUAACAAAGUAAAAGUACUGGAAAGUGUUUUUAGAU